GGUGUGGAGGUGUCCUUGUUGCGUCUAUUUGGGGGCAGACACUGGGUCAGGUCAGGAACACACCAGAGGGAUUAAGGCAGUGCCUUGGAAUCCCUCAGGAGGAGUUGGAGGAAGUGGGGAGUGAGACAUCUGACGUAUUUUGCUUCAUUUGAUACCACCACAACUUGGACCCACCAGAGCUGCUGAAUACAGAUAGAUGGACGUUUUAAGCUACAUCCAUGGAAAUGUCUCCUUCACAAUAUCUAUGAUGCGCAGUACAGUCGGUGCUGAUUCUCCCCUGUGGUUCGGCCAUCAACAGACAUUGGAACCUCAGUUGAGUGGUGGCACAACCAGAAAGGGACACGGCUGUAACCAGAGUAUGUGAGAGG